rnacentral:rRNA from 1 species
UCUUUUAAGUCUGGAGUGAAAGGCCGGGGCCGAACCCCGGGACCGCUCUGGAAACUGCCCGGCUGGAGUGCGGGAGAGGUAAGCGGAAUUCCUAGUGUAGCGGUGAAAUGCGUAGAUAUUAGGAGGAACACCAGCGGCGAAGGCGGCUUACUGGACCGUGACUGACGUUGAGGCUCGAAAGCGUGGGGAGCAAACAG